rnacentral:tRNA from 1 species
GCAGCGAUUGUUCAGUGGUGGAAUGCUUGCCUUCCAAACGGGAGACCUGGGUUCGAUUCCCAGCCAAGGCA